rnacentral:rRNA from 1 species
CGAACGCUGGCGGCGUGGUUUAGGCAUGCAAGUCGCGCGCGAAAGUGAACUUCGGUUCACGAGUAGAGCGGCGAAAGGGUGAGUAACGCAUAGUUAACCUACCCCUGACACCGGUAUAGCCUCUGGAAACGGAGGGUAAUCCCGGAUGGUCCCGAUGGUUGGAAUCUUCUAUCGGGUAAAGGUUGGGAUCUUCGGACCUUCCGGUCAGGGAGGGGACUAUGCCCCAUCAGCUUGUUGGUGAGGUAAUGGCUCACCAAGGCAUUUACGGGUAGCCGGACUGAGAGGUUGACCGGUCACACUGGGACUGAGACACUGCCCAGACUCCUACGGGAGGCUGCAGUCGAGAAUCUUCCGCAAUGGGCGAAAGCCUGACGGAGCGACGCCGCGUGGGGGAUGAAGGCCUUCGGGUUGUAAACCCCUGACACGGAUUAUGAAUGGCCGUACGUUAAUAGCGUGCGGUUUGACAAAGGUCCGAGAGGAAGCCACGGCUAACUCU